UGGGGAAUAUUGGACAAUGGGCGAAAGCCUGAUCCAGCGACGCCGCGUGAAGGAAGACGGUCUUCGGAUUGUAAACUUUAGUGAGCAGGGACGAUAGUGACGGUACCUGCAUAGCAAGCCACGGCUAACUACGUGCCAGCAGCCGCGGUAAUACGUAGGUGGCAAGCGUUAUCCGGAAUUACUGGGUGUAAAGGGUGAGUAGGCGGGAAGGCAAGUCAGGUGUGAAAUGCAGGGGCUCAACCCCUGAGCUGCACUUGAAACUGCUUUUCUUGAGAGUCGGAGGGGUAAUCGGAAUUCCCAGUGUAGCGGUGAAAUGCGCAGAGAUUGGGAGGAACACCAGUGGCGAAGGCGGAUUACUGGACGACAACUGACGCUGAGACACGAAAGCGUGGGGAGCAAACAGG
rnacentral:rRNA from 2 species